rnacentral:rRNA from 1 species
GAUGAACGCUGGCGGCGUGCUUAACACAUGCAAGUCGAACGGUGAACACGGAGCUUGCUCUGUGGGAUCAGUGGCGAACGGGUGAGUAACACGUGAGCAACCUGCCCCUGACUCUGGGAUAAGCGCUGGAAACGGCGUCUAAUACUGGAUAUGUGACGUGACCGCAUGGUCUGCGUUUGGAAAGAUUUUUCGGUUGGGGAUGGGCUCGCGGCCUAUCAGCUUGUUGGUGAGGUAAUGGCUCACCAAGGCGUCGACGGGUAGCCGGCCUGGGAGGGUGACCGGCCACACUGGGACUCAGACACGGCCCAGACUCCUACGGGAGGCAGCAGUGGGGAAUAUUGCACAAUGGGCGCAAGCCUGAUGCAGCAACGCCGCGUGAGGGAUGACGGCCUUCGGGUUGUAAACCUCUUUUAGCAGGGAAGAAGCGAAAGUGACGGUACCUGCAGAAAAAGCGCCGGCUAACUACGUG